rnacentral:snRNA from 1 species
UUGCUCCGGCAGUACGUGUACUAAAAUUGGAACGAUGCAGAGAAGAUUGGCACGGCAUCUGAGCAAGGAUGACACGCGCAUU